UCCUGCCAGGGCUUUUAGCAUUUCCACUAUGAAGAAGCAUCAGGACCCCGGGAGGUCCUCCUUCAACUCUGGAAGCUAUGUCACCAGUGGCUGAGACCAGAGAAGUGCACGAAGGAGCAGAUCCUGGAGUUGCUAGUCCUGGAACAGUUCCUGACUGUCCUUCCCCAGGAGAUCCAGGUCUGGGUUAGACAACAGCAACCUGAGAGUGGAGAGGAAGCAGUGGCCCUGGUAGAAGACUUGCAGAAAGAACCUGGAAGACCAGGGCUGCAGGUCAUGGUGUAGAGCACACAGCCAGAACAAGAGGCACAAGUAAACUACACGUCAACUACAGCCCCAAAGAGCAUCUCCAGCCCUCCCACAGCAGUGGAGGUGAAGACUUGUGUAUCGUCUCACCACUAGAGGACAGACCGAAGUUGGAAUGAGGGGGGAGCAGAAGGCAGGACACUCAAGGAGCUCAUGAAGUGGCGGCAUGGCAGCCAGUUCCCUCAGGAUAGUUCCCACGCUGGGAGUGCACAGAGGGGUGUGGCUGGGCUGAUGAGAAUACAGAGGACCCUUGGGCACGGCUCCCAAAGCCCAUGAGACUCUCAGUGGACUUAAUCCAGACUUGCUGAUCCUAAUUGCUCCCCCCACAGAAGCACAGAGGCUCAGCACAGACACAACAGCUGACCCUAAGGACCAGUGAGUGUCUCUGAGGAGUGCAAAGAGGCUGUAAUUCAAGCUGCCACAGUAGCUCUGAUCAGCUCUCUUGGGUCACAUGUAAGUGGCUCCUUCCCUUUCCAUAAACUCUUAGGAGCCUGCAGAGAUUCUCCUUGGACCUGCCACUGAGCCAGUGGGUGGUUCUCAGCUGUGACUUGUCCCUGAUGGGAGGAAGAGAAGACCUUUUUUAGAGAUCUGGCAGAAAACAAAGGCUCGAGAGCCUCUUGCCUGGACAGCUGCUCUGUGAGUACAGUUGGAAGGAGGUCAGGUCUCCUUCUCUAGUCAGUGAUUAAGACCACAGCAAAUUGACCAAACUGGCUCCAGGGUGAAAAGACCAACUACCUCAAAAGCAAAGCAAAAGAUACAGCGAGACACCUCUGAGAACUUGGAAACAUGCAGGGUCUUCAAGUUCGUGGAAAACGCUUAUUCCUAAGAUGCUGUGCAUGAUUUCAAAAGUUUCUGUAUUGAGAUAAACUAAUAUUUUGAUUCCAUAAACUAAUAUUUUGAUUCCAUAUUUCUAUAAACCUUUUGAAGUCUCCCUAUGAAAAGAAGAAGGUUUAUCUGAAAUUAUAUCAACACGGGAUGGGUCAGAGCAGAGGUGAGCAAAGGGACCUGAGGGACCCAGAACAGCUCUGAGAUCUACAACACUGAGCAAAUGGAGCACAUGUCUAAAGGGCGGUGGCACCCACAGGAGAGGACCGUUCCAUCACAGAGGCAAAGAAAAUGUUGGGGCCUGUCCAGGAAGAGAGGGAGCCACACCAACAGAACGAUGUUCAAGUGCCAAGUGGAAGCAGCAAGUGGCA